rnacentral:rRNA from 1 species
AGAGUUUGAUCCUGGCUCAGAUUGAACGCUGGCGGCAGGCCUAACACAUGCAAGUCGAACGGUAACAGGAAGAAGCUUGCUUCUUUGCUGACGAGUGGCGGACGGGUGAGUAAUGUCUGGGAAACUGCCUGAUGGAGGGGGAUAACUACUGGAAACGGUAGCUAAUACCGCAUAACGUCGCAAGACCAAAAAGGGGGACCUUCGGGCCUCUUGCCAUCGGAUGUGCCCAGAUGGGAUUAGCUAGUAGGUGGGGUAACGGCUCACCUAGGCGACGAUCCCUAGCUGGUCUGAGAGGAUGACCAGCCACACUGGAACUGAGACACGGUCCAGACUCCUACGGGAGGCAGCAGUGGGGAAUAUUGCACAAUGGGCGCAAGCCUGAUGCAGCCAUGCCGCGUGUAUGAAGAAGGCCUUCGGGUUGUAAAGUACUUUCAGCGGGGAGGAAGGGAGUAAAGUUAAUACCUUUGCUCAUUGACGUUACCCGCAGAAGAAGCACCGGCUAACUCCGUGCCAGCAGCCGCGGUAAUACGGAGGGUGCAAGCGUUAAUCGGAAUUACUGGGCGUAAAGCGCACGCAGGCGGUUUGUUAAGUCAGAUGUGAAAUCCCCGGGCUCAACCUGGGAACUGCAUCUGAUACUGGCAAGCUUGAGUCUCGUAGAGGGGGGUAGAAUUCCAGGUGUAGCGGUGAAAUGCGUAGA